rnacentral:rRNA from 1 species
UAAUUGAAGAGUUUGAUCAUGGCUCAGAUUGAACGCUGGCGGCAGGCUUAACACAUGCAAGUCGAGCGGUAGCACAAGGGAGCUUGCUCCCUGGGUGACGAGCGGCGGACGGGUGAGUAAUGUCUGGGAAACUGCCUGAUGGAGGGGGAUAACUACUGGAAACGGUAGCUAAUACCGCAUAACGUCGCAAGACCAAAGAGGGGGACCUUCGGGCCUCUUGCCAUCAGAUGUGCCCAGAUGGGAUUAGCUAGUAGGUGGGGUAAUGGCUCACCUAGGCGACGAUCCCUAGCUGGUCUGAGAGGAUGACCAGCCACACUGGAACUGAGACACGGUCCAGACUCCUACGGGAGGCAGCAGUGGGGAAUAUUGCACAAUGGGCGCAAGCCUGAUGCAGCCAUGCCGCGUGUGUGAAGAAGGCCUUCGGGUUGUAAAGCACUUUCAGCGAGGAGGAAGGUGGUGA